ACAUUGGAACUAACGCGACUCGUAUUCGUCCUAGAUGCGUAAUAAGACAACUGAAACGAGUGAGGGCUUUUCUUCUCCUGAUACCUGGACUCACCCUUACCUCCGUCCUAUAAGAAGACCUACCGAUACGACUCCACCACCAACCAGCCUAGGUACCACAUCCGUUUCAACCAGUCGUACCACCUCAACACGACACCCCUUCUGGGACCUAAUCUAUAGACGCGCCGAUAGACGCACGACCCACCUAGUCACAUCGGGUGGAGCCCUACCUCCGUUCGCCGCGAAGUGACCACGGAGCGGUACGGUGUUGUCACCGGAAGUGUUACAAAUUAGUAUUCUGGUGAUAAAAACACAGAUAUACGUCACAAGUGAAGCAGAUAUAGAAC
rnacentral:rRNA from 1 species